CCAUCAUGUGUAAGGGAUCAUUUUUCUAUAGGAAUUUCAUUCAACCACUGAAUGGCUUCUGAGUUCACUUUUUCGAUCUUCCUCAUGGACAUGUUGAACUUCCUGACUUAUAUUUGUAUGUCGGUUUUUUUCACCAAACCUCUCAGUCUUGAAUCUCGAAAUCUUGUAUUGAAGUUGUUCGCUAUAUAGCAUAGGCAAUAUAUAUGAUAUGCAUUGAGUGGUUGCCAACCAAGAUAUUUUUAUUUUACAUAGCAGAUAAUAUACCUGCAUGCUAAUCUAAAAUCAGAUAGAUGUUCUAACGUGAUGUAAUAAAACAUCUCAAACAAGCUAAGAACUAACUCCAUGGAU
rnacentral:lncRNA from 1 species